CAAUAAUAGAUAUAAAGAAGUAACAAAUAUAACAAAGUAAUCUCGGCUCCCCCUUCAACUUCGUUAUAACGAGAUUCGUACAUCGAGAAGGGCAG
rnacentral:lncRNA from 1 species